rnacentral:rRNA from 1 species
GACGAACGCUGGCGGCGUGCCUAAUACAUGCAAGUCGAACGCUGAAACUUGGUGCUUGCACCGAGCGGAUGAGUUGCGAACGGGUGAGUAACGCGUAGGUAACCUGCCUGGUAGCGGGGGAUAACUAUUGGAAACGAUAGCUAAUACCGCAUAAGAGUAGAUGUUGCAUGACAUUUGCUUAAAAGGUGCAAUUGCACCACUACCAGAUGGACCUGCGUUGUAUUAGCUAGUUGGUGGGGUAACGGCUCACCAAGGCGACGAUACAUAGCCGACCUGAGAGGGUGAUCGGCCACACUGGGACUGAGACACGGCCCAGACUCCUACGGGAGGCAGCAGUAGGGAAUCUUCGGCAAUGGACGGAAGUCUGACCGAGCAACGCCGCGUGAGUGAAGAAGGUUGUCGGAUCGUAAAGCCCUGUUGUAAGAGAAGAACGAGUGUGAGAGUGGAAAGUUCACACUGUGACGGUAGCUUACCAGAAAGGGACGGCUAACUACGUG